rnacentral:rRNA from 1 species
AUGACCUGGCGGCAGGCUUACCAUGCAAGUCGAACGAUGAAAUCUAGCUUGCUAAAUGGAUUAGUGGCGAACGGGUGAGUAAUGCUUAGGAAUCUGCCUAUUAGUGGGGGAUAACCAUCCGAAAGGAUGGCUAAUACCGCAUACGUCUUACGAGAGAAAGGGGGCUUUUAGCUCUCGCUAAUAGAUGAGCCUAAGUCGGAUUAGCUAGUUGGUGGGGUAAAGGCCUACCAAGGCGACGAUCUGUAGCUGGUCUGAGAGGAUGAUCAGCCACACUGGGACUGAGACACGGCCCAGACUCCUACGGGAGGCAGCAGUGGGGAAUAUUGGACAAUGGGCGAAAGCCUGAUCCAGCCAUGCCGCGUGUGUGAAGAAGGCCUUUUGGUUGUAAAGCACUUUAAGUGGGGAGGAAAAGCUUGUGGUUAAUACCCAUUAGCCCUGACGUUACCCACAGAAUAAGCACCGGCUAACUCUGUGCCAGCAGCCGCGGUAAU